rnacentral:rRNA from 1 species
AGUGAACGCUGGCGGUAGGCCUAACACAUGCAAGUCGAACGGCAGCACAGUAAGAGCUUGCUCUUACGGGUGGCGAGUGGCGGACGGGUGAGGAAUACAUCGGAUUCUACUUUUUCGGGGGGGAUAACGUAGGGAAACUUACGCUAAUACCGCAUACGACCUACGGGUGAAAGCAGGGGAUCUUCGGACCUUGCGCGAUUGAAUGAGCCGAUGUCGGAUUAGCUAGUUGGCGGGGUAAAGGCCCACCAAGGCGACGAUCCGUAGCUGGUCUGAGAGGAUGAUCAGCCACACUGGAACUGAGACACGGUCCAGACUCCUACGGGAGGCAGCAGUGGGGAAUAUUGGACAAUGGGCGCAAGCCUGAUCCAGCCAUACCGCGUGGGUGAAGAAGGCCUUCGGGUUGUAAAGCCCUUUUGUUGGGAAAGAAAAGCAGCAGGUUAAUACCCCGCUGUUCUGACGGUACCCAAAGAAUAAGCACCGGCUAACUUCGUG